rnacentral:rRNA from 1 species
UACAGAGGUCCCAAGCGUUGUUCGGAUUCACUGGGCGUAAAGGGUGCGUAGGCGGUCGGGUAAGUCUGAUGUGAAAUCUCACAGCUUAACUGUGAAACUGCAUUGGAUACUAUCCGGCUUGAGGAAUGGAGGGGAGACUGGAAUACUUGGUGUAGCAGUGAAAUGCGUAGAUAUCAAGUGGAACACCAGUGGCGAAGGCGAGUCUCUGGACAGUUCCUGACGCUGAGGAGCGAAAGCGUGGGGAGCGAACAGG